rnacentral:rRNA from 1 species
UACAGGGGGUGCAAACGUUGCUCGGAAUCAUUGGGCGUAAAGCGCACGUAGGCGGUUCGUUAUGUCGGAUGUGAAGCCCUUGGCUUAACCGAGGAAGUGCAUCCGAAACUGGCGAGCUAGAGUACGAAAGAGGAUCGCGGAAUUCCCGGUGUAGAGGUGAAAUUCGUAGAUAUCGGGAGGAACGACCGGUGGCGAAGGCGGCGAUCUGGGUCGAUACUGACGCUGAGGUGCGAAAGCGUGGGAGCAACAGG